rnacentral:rRNA from 1 species
UGAGGAAUAUUGGUCAAUGGACGGAAGUCUGAACCAGCCAUGCCGCGUGCAGGAUGACGGCUCUAUGAGUUGUAAACUGCUUUUGUAUGAGGGUAAAAAAGAUUACGUGUAAUCUGUUGAAAGUAUCAUACGAAUAAGGAUCGGCUAACUCCGUGCCAGCAGCCGCGGUAAUACGGAGGAUUCAAGCGUUAUCCGGAUUUAUUGGGUUUAAAGGGUGCGUAGGCGGUGAUUUAAGUUAGUCGUUAAAUCGGAAGGCUCAACCUUCUCAUGGCGAUUAAUACUGGAUUACUAGAGAUUAGAUGCAGAGGGCGGAAUGUGUAGUGUAGCGGUGAAAUGCUUAGAUAUUACACAGAACACCGAUUGCGAAGGCAGCUCUCUAAUCUACAUCUGACGCUGAGGCACGAAAGCGUGGGGAUCAAACA